rnacentral:lncRNA from 1 species
AAGAAAGAAAGAAAGAAAGAAAGAAAGAGAAAGAAAGAAAGAGAAAAAAGAAAAGAGAGAGAAUUGGUGGAUCACAAUAUAGACGCAUGGAUAACUUUAGAAAACAGCUGAUAAAUUUAUUCCCAAAGUGGGUGUCUUUUCUAUUCUCUCACCAGUGAUAUACAAUGUUUCCAGUAAUCUACAUUUUCAUCAAGACUUGACAUGCAGACUAUCGAGGGUCAACAGUAGAAGCCAGAAGACUUGUUAAGAAGCUAUGGAAGUAAUCCAGCCGUGAUCAGCUGCCAAAACAAAGGAAUAGAAAUGGAAGAGUUAGAGGCAGUGUUAUGCUAGAGCUGUCCCUUAGCGAGCUGAUUUUAAAGCUUGAAAUCGGCCAUGGAUGAAUUCUUGGCCUGAAAAAGGGGAAUCAAAAGACGUGCUUUCCUGUGCUUCAGCUGCAAUGUCUAUUUCUCAAGACGCUGAAAAAGAUGAUUUAGAGUUUUAUGAUUAAUGGAAGGGAGGAAUCUACUCUAAAGAAAUUGGAUAAUACUAUAAAUAAGAAAUAAAAAUUAUUUGACAAAAGCUAUCUUCCCCUUAGGGAUUAUAUGUACUACUGAUUUACCUUACUGUAUCUUAUUCAACAGAACGUUUUCAAAUAGUAUCAUAUUGCCAGUUACAUUGUGGUAUCAUUUUGAGACAAAUCAUUUGGGGUUAUUAAUAUAAAGAAUUGGACAGUUUAAAUGUAGAUGUGAUAAGCUAUUUUAAAAUUCAAAAUUGUUACAGCUUUUCAACUCAAAAUGAAGAAGCCAAUGACGCAUCUUACAGAAUAACUUAUAUACUGCAUUGGCUAGAGAAGCACAUACAAUAGCUGAGAGACUAAUAAAGCCUUAUAUGGUUGACAUUGUUAAUACCUACUGGUGAAAAGUUAGUAAAGUAAAUCAUGACACUGACACUUUCCAAUGACACAGUAACUUGCCACAUUAAAGAUUUAGCUGCAAUCAUGGAAGCUGAGUUAAUAUCUGCAGAGUUGUACUUUUGCCUUGCGAAAUCUACAGGCUUGGCUUUAUUUGCUGUUUUACCUGUAUUCAUACAGAAUCAGUACCAACCAAUCAUAGAAGUUUUCCUGUUUGAAUUAUUGACAACAAGUGCAAAUGGUGAUGAAAUAUUCCAUGUGCUUAUGUUGAUCACCUCCUUUUCAGUUGUUGAUGAGGGAGCAAUUCUCAUCCUAAGGUUAUGGAGAUGACCAAACAUACAACACCCAACACUGAACAGAUGAGAUCGACCACGGUAUAUUAGUCACACAUACUCACAGCCUGGAGUAGGAGCACACCGCACCAUGUUAGGGCCACAUGAGGGUAACACUUGGGAAGAGAGUGAACAAAUAAAGGGUUGUCGGGGGGCAGGCUUUGGUAGUAUCAAGAAGGUGGGGCACCCCUGGUUCCCAAGGGAAGAUGCCAUUGUCUUAUUUAAAUAAUUCCAUAGUUUGGCAGGGAUCUGAAAGCUACCACUCAGGAUAAGCCGGAAUUACAUUCAUUUGAUUUGAUAAGGAUUACUUGGCUAAGGCACCUUAUCUGUAGGAUCAGAAUGGGGAGGGAAACUUGCAGCUAGGCCAUUGUUUAGGCACCAAACUGUAACAGUAGUCACUGCAAUUUUUCCUGCUGUACUCUCACAGAAAAAAAAAAAAAGUCGCUUUCACUUAAGAAUGCCCUUGAUGUCCUUGAUGAAACAGUAAACAUUAUUCUUUUCAUUAAAUAUCAACCAUUGAGUAAACAUCUUUCGAAUAUAUUUUGUAUAAGGAAAUGGAAAGUACAAAUAAAACACUUCUAUACACUGAAGUACAAUGGCUGUCUCCAG